rnacentral:rRNA from 1 species
AGCAGCCGCGGUAAUUCCAGCUCCAAUAGCGUAUAUUAAAGUUGUUGCAGUUAAAAAGCUCGUAGUUGAAUUUCGGGAUCAAUUUAUCGGUCGUGCCAAUGGUAUGAACUGGUACAAUUGGUUUCUCCCUUCUGACGAAGCAUGAUGUCAUUAAUUUGGUGUCGUGGGGAAUCAGGACUGUUACUUUGAAAAAUUAGAGUGUUUAAAGCAAGCAUUAGCUUGAAUACAUUAGCAUGGAAUAAUGAAAUAGGACGUUUGAUCCUAUUUUGUUGGUUUCUAGGAUCGACGUAAUGAUUAAUAGGGAUAGUUGGGGGCAUUAGUAUUCAAUUGUCAGAGGUGAAAUUCUUGGAUUUAUUGAAGACUAACUACUGCGAAAGCAUUUGCCAAGGAUGUUUUCAUUAAUCAAGAACGAAAGUUAGGGGAUCGAAGACGAUCAGAUACCGUCGUAGUCUUAACCAUAAACUAAUGCCGACUAGGGAUCGGAUGAUGUUAAUUUUUAAUGUACUCAUUCGGC